UUUCAAGCCAAAGGACGGAUUCACUCCAAGAUCAUGCUGUGCAAGCAGCACAAAUUCAGAGAGCCUCAAGGAAAUCAAGGCAAAAAUGUACUGGCCAUACAAACCUCUGUUCCUCUCUCACGUAAUUGCAUAGUUGAUUGUGCGUCACAGCAUCAACCCUUGCACCUUCUAUUGCUGACAUAUACUUGUGAGUGCAAGACUUGUCAAUGAGCACCUGGCAGCUGUUCUCUCCCUGGCAGUGAGUUCAGUCUGCUGCAACCACCUCUCCUUCGACGGUGGAUCAGCAACGAAGGAUUCUAUUGAGCCCUCGGCCGAGACAGAACAAGUUUUUGAGGCGCUCACUACCAAUCGUCGAAGACAUGUCAAAGCCCUUGAGUUGGUCGGUUUCUCUAAGCACUGGAGCUGGGCGUUUUGCCCCUUUUUUGGGUAGUGUAAUGUGGUGGGAGUUAUUUUAACCUGUUAGUGAGGGAAUCAUCUUCUGGUAAAGAUGAUCAUAUAUGUACAAACCUCUAGUGUUUGGUUUGGUUGUAGCUGAUACUUAUUUGUAUAUGGAUUAGGUGCCUUUGAUUUGAUUCAACACGGGCUAGUGAUGAGU